rnacentral:SRP_RNA from 1 species
UCCACGCAUGGUGGCACAUUCCUGUAUACCAGCUACUCGGGAGGCUGAAGUGGGAGGAUCGAUUGAGCCUAGGAGUUCUCGGCUACAGUGCGCAAUCUCAAGAGGGUGUCCACACUAAGUUCAGCAUUAAUAUAGUGACCUCCCAGGAGUGGGGGAUGACUAGGUUGUCUAAGGAAGGGUGAACCAGCCCAGGUCAGAAACAAAGCAGGUCAAAACUCCCAUACUAAUUAGUAGUGGGAUCCAGCCUGUGAAUAGCCACUGCACUCUAUCCUGGGCGACAAACUGAGAAACACCCCUCC